rnacentral:lncRNA from 1 species
UGAAACAAUUACAAAUACACCCCUCCCCGAAAACAGCCCAGUCUGCACUGCAUACCGGUACACGAGAUUGUGUACCAGUACACAUCCCACGAACCAGCCCAACCUGAGCCUCGGGUUGGCGCACAGGCUGCCAGUGUACCGGUACACGAUCCCGUACCGGUACACCCAUCACCGCGUACCGGUACAGCCAUCAACCUGUACCGGUACGCAGCCCUGCUGAAGGCUACCCGAGAGCACACAAAUCAUCC